CCCUUUCCUCCUCUGGCUGCUUCUGGCUGCCAGGCGUUGAUGAGAGAGACUGCACACUGCUGACUGAUCAAGACAAAGAUGUCCAUCUGCUCUGUCAUGUGUGGCCGAAGCAGAACCUUAGCAAGCCCUGGUCUUGUGGGAGCGUGCUCCUUGCCACCAGGAAACAACUGGCUGCCCUCGUACUCUGCUGAGCUGGGAUGGCAGACUUCUGUUUUCAGUUCGAUCAGGCUCACCCUCCAUCUUCUCUUGCUGAAGCAGAGCUCUCCUGGGACGGAUGGUCACAGCCACUUGGCUGCUGAGGGCACUUCUGCUUGUUUUCAUGCAGUACCAGUGCAGUAGAUGCGACUUGUUACUCAGUUUACCUGUUUGGCUACAUCCGUGGCUCCCCCACCCCAGGUGUGCCCCGGCACUCAGUGCUUUUCAAAACCCAGGGGCAGCAGAAAAUCCUUCUCACUCGAGUGUCUUUUUGAUGUGGUCUGGCCUUUUCUUUUUUGCUUAAGGCUUUCCUACUAGAUGCAUCCCCCCGCCCCAUCCAAACUUUUUUCUUUCAGCUUUCGGUAGGCAAUGUCUACAGACCUGAUUUUUAAACAGAGACCGAGAAGGAAAGCUCUGAAAAGAACAGACCUGUCCCUCCCCAUUCACCUUUUGCUGUGGCAUCUAUUUUUCGUUGUUUUUACCUUUGUGAGACAGUGCAGCUCUUUUAACCUGCCAGUUGCAGUGUGAGAGCUAUAAGAUUCCCUGCCUCUGCAGUGGAUUGCUUUUUCUUAAUGGCUGCUUUGAUUAAAAAGAUAAAUAAUAAUGGGAGAGAAGGGGAGAGAAAAAUCUUUCUGCCUCUAGCCCCUUUCCCCCUUGUUGCAGGCAGAUCGCCUGCUUUGUCGCUUGUUAAUGAGGAAUUUGUAUUUAUUGGUGAAGGAAAAAACAUGCUGGGGAAGUAGGGAGAAGAUGUUGCUUUAUUGACCUCUGCUGUUUACUUCGACCCCCUCUUUGGGAAAGCUUCUUCCUGCUCUUUCUGGUUAACUCUUUCUAGCCUGGGAUAUACAGGGAUGCCUCCUUUAUUUUUGUAUUCUAGCAAUGGACUCUCUGUAAGGAGACUCUAGGAUUCUCUUAGUGUUGCAAUGACCAUUAUUUGUAGCCUUUUCGAGUACUAAAGAUGAUCAUCUCGUAAACUUUGCCCCUGCAGUUGUAGAGGUAACACACAAGCCUUACUGCCCUCGUUAGAAGGAGCAGAAAACUUGUUUCUCUGGUCCCUGGAAGAGAAAGGGUUAAGCAAUUAAACAGUUCUUUGUUCU
rnacentral:lncRNA from 1 species